rnacentral:ribozyme from 13 species
CUUCUUCUUUGUUCUUCCUUUUGAUCUCUCUUUUUUCACCAAUCUUUUGUGGUAUUUUUGAAAAUGAGUUCGAAGGAAACCUUCUUGGUAUGGCCAUAAACGAAGUAGAAGGAGAAGAAUAUGAAC